ensembl:lncRNA
CAUGUAUAUCCAGAUUACCAUCUAUGUUCUUCCUCCAAACCCAUUUUAUGAUUGGGAUUACAGGCAGUUCUUUAGGACUGCUCUCAAAUAAUUGAAAUGUUACUAAACAAGGUUAUACUUAUCAAAUUAAGUAGCUCUGGUCUCCAGUAUUUUGGCGAAUUCGGUUCUUUGUACUUAAUUUAUUAGCAUGAUUUUUAAUAUGUUGUGUACAGACUUAAUUACUUCUCUGUCUACUUUUCUUACUCCAUGUAGGUUUCCCAGAGACUAUGGGUUGAGGAGGAAGUGGAAGUUUGUCGGCUUAGACCUGGUGUCAUUCCAUCAGUGUUAAACUUCCCAGCUCAUCUUGGAAGAGUACGUGCCAGAAAGACCAUGACCAAGCAGCCUUGAGCGUCUCCCUGAGGUCCCUCUCUAUCUCCCUACACAUCCACCAACCACUGGAACACAUCUCCAAAGUUCUGCCAGGCCAGCUCAGCUUCCCCUCAGAAGAAGUGGCGCCACCUGCCAGAUGAAGGAGCCUUUUGAGAGGCAGCUGGCAUCGUGAUUGGACUGUACUUUGGUCUGUUCCAAUCCAGCUUCAGCUCCAGAGACGGCAGGCGGGACGAGUCAACGGAGGCCUGGUGGACGAAGGCAUGCAGCUGAGUACAAUCCAGAAAACAACAGAGGAGGAGUGCAGCAGCCAGAACAACCAGAGUAGCAUCACCAAAGAACUACAGACUCUUCACAACCUGCUCAAACUCUUGGUACAGGACCUCACCACACGGGUCAAGAAGGUUGCUUUGUAGAACUGUUCCAGAAAACCUCACUAAACCACAUGGAGGGGCCUCAAGAUAGUCGUCCAAAUGAAACCAUACAAAAACCAAACUAGAAUAACCCAAAUGCUAAAGUCUCCUGCAGCCUACCAGAGAACCUCUGAGAACAGAGAAUCAAGACAGGAACUCUUACCUUCUGGACAACCAACGUUGCUUCACAAACAAGAAUACAGAAUGUGUCUGACCAAAAACCUCUGAAGACUCACUACAGCCAAGAUAAAGACACAACUCAGCUGAAUCAAAUCCACUAAUUAGCACCAUGUGCUAACUGUGGCUGAAGAACCACAUUUACCAAGACAACUAUCCAGUACAAAGCCCUAAAACACACCAAGAAACACAUUAAAGUCUAUUUUACUGCUGGAAGCUGCAAGCCAACGCCUAAAGAACAAACUAAAGCAAUGGAGCCAAACCCAGUUCACUGGUGAAGAGAAACAGAGGAAAUGUUUGUCUGCAGCUAAAUAAAGCAGGAAGACACUGAGCUGCUCAAGUGUUCCUGAUAACACCAAGCUGCUCAGGUGUUCCUGAUAACACCAAGCAGCCACCUGGACAGCCAAUAGGAACACAGCUUCCUGGAAGUCCAGAGGGCUGGGUUAGUCAAGGAAAUUUAGUUUAAAGUUGAAGCAAAAAGUUAACAAAGAAAGUUGAAAACCACCUUCUGAUCCCUGAAAUCUCUGAGUUUUCACACAAAGAACACCUGAACAUGUCAAACUGGUUCCAUAAUAGAACCAUCAUUGUAAAAACGUCAUAGUAUGGUAUGUUGCUCUAAAAACAUUAGGACCCAGCUGUCAGGGGACAAACAUGUAAGAAACAUGAGAACAGAGAGAACCCAACCAGUAGGUCACAGUUUAUCAUCCCCCAGUCAUCUCCUGAAGUCCAUAUGGUGAGAGACAUCAGUAUCUGGUUGUUAAUUUACACUCUAAAAAGAAUUUACUUGAACCAACUUAAAAAAGUGUUUCAAUUGAUAACAACUAAUAUAAUAAGUAUUUUAACUUAUUUCUUUAGGUUGAACCAAACUUACAUUUUUAGUCAGAUUAAAGCAAAAAAUUCAGUCAUUUUUUUCUUUUAUAUUACUUUAUUUUAACUUAAAAAGAUAUAUAAAACCUACUUAAUAAUUUCAGAAAAUUACACUUAAAACUCAAC